AGUGAUCGACCAACUCCGAAAUACCUAGAUCUGCACAAAAAUGUGCAGAAGCAUAGUAUGAGUACACCACAAUGGUACACAGUAAGUAUCAAGACUAACCUCAGUGGAGUAAUUAUGAGGGACAGUCAAGACACCUACCAGACUAAACAACUUGAACAAGUGUAAAGAUGAACUAACAGAGAAAUGAUAUUAAUAUACAACUAAGCAUGAUAAAGAGUACCAAACAAUACUUGCAACAAGACACCAAUAACAAAAAUAUUCAAUAGGAAGCAGUCAAGUAAUAAUGUCGUAGAGUAAGCUGGACACAGUCUAAGUCUGGUGAAAUCAAAAUAAAGAAAACCAGCAACAACUCAAUAAGAACAAUCGUUUUUAUACCAGAUUUUGUUCAAGAAUUUUUCCGAGGUACUGAACCUCAUAAUCACAGCUCACGGGUCCCAAUUCUUGAAUCCUAAUCACUUUGUAUCCUAUGCCCGCAUUACAACCCAUAACUGCACGGAUGACUCACGUGCCAAUAGAACAAUUCUCACUUAGAAGGCAAGUAAACGGGAGUACGUAUAAAUGGUCAAUAAUAUCAGGAUCCAUAUCUUAAACCGAUAGGGCGAUUAAUUACGUGUGUGCUUGUGUAAAGUGUUCUAUCAUAGUUCAGGCCAACGAGUAAGAAUAGAAAAAUUGAAUGGCACAUAAGAAAUGAUCCCCACAAUUUGCACAGGGUAAAACUCACACAAGUUAGGCACUCCAAUCUCCAUUACACAAAUAUCAACAACAACAAUGCCCCCAGAUCAUCACAAGUCAUCACAAAUCAUACCCCGACAUAGCCCACCUUGUCUCGUCACGUGUGCAAUAAUAAAGUAGAUGCCCGCCUUAUCUCGCCGCACGCGUAUAAUAAUGUUCCCACCUUAUCUUGCCACAUGAUCAAACACACAAAUAUAGCAUGUCUUAUCACGCCGCAUAUGCAACAUCAAUAGUAACAAUAGCACGACAGAAACCUCGUGCAAACACCCAAACAAAUUCUCCCAACAAUAUCACGUGCCAAAAAUAUAACAACACAAUAAAAUGACCUUCACAACAUGUGCCCAUAUUCCAAAAUAUUUCCUCAAAACACUUUCAAUACCACGACCGCGCAUAGCCCUCGGCUCAACAAUACUAAGUACAACAGAAACAACAAUAAUAACACAAGAAGACGGCAAGUAAAUUGACUCAGUAACUUCAGAAUACAAAGACAACGGAAGAACGAGCUCACCAAGAAAGACCCAACGGGAAAAAAUAGUACAAUAUAGCAAUAGCUCGACAAGGAAGAGAUAAUUUAUAGCAAUGAUUCCACAAAAAUAAAAUUCGACGAUAAGGGAGAUAACAUGAGUCAAUAAUUCUUAAUAAGGAUAAGUCAACAAUGAUAAAGGAUAACAAAACUUCAUUUAGGGUUGAGCAAUUACGGAAGAGAUACAACAAAUUCAAUUAAUGAUAAGCAAAUUACGGAAAAGAUAAUAAUAACCUCAAUUAAGGAUAGACAAUUAUAAAGGAGAAAAUAAUAACUUCAAUUAAGAAUAAGCAAUUAGGAAAGGAUAGCAUGGAAAUAGAAUAGGCAACAACUUCAGUUAAGACACAUAAGAGUUAAAUAGGCAAUAAGAGUGGAACAUGAAGCAAUUAAUUCCAAUCAAGAUACGUAAAGGUGAAACUAGUAAAUGAGGGAUUCAACAUGACAAAACAACUUCAUAUCUAAUGAACAUAAGAACCUAAGAGCCCUAAACAGUCAAAUUUCCACAAAUAAGCCCCAGUACGUACUUGUCAACUCGCGUACACGAACUUCACAUGACACAAUUAGCACCCCAAGACUCAAAUUCUAAGGGGUAGUCUCCCUGUCACACCUCCUUUUUCACUACACCCCGAGAAGGGGUAUAUAGUGGAGUUUUUUCUAACUUAAAGUGACAAUCAAAACGGGAUUAUUAAUUUAUUAAAUUCAGAGUCGCCACUUGGGAUAAUUUAUAGUGUCCCAAGUCACCGGUUUAAAUCCCGAAUCGAGGAAAAGAUUGACUUUGUUAUACAGCCUGCGAACCAGAAAUCCGGGUAAGGAAUUCUGUUAACCCAGGAGAAGGUGUUAGGCAUUCCCGGGUUCCGCCAUUCUAGCAUGGUCGCUCAACUGUUACAAUUGGCCUAUUAUCUGAUUUUAGUACGCUUUUAAACCUGUGUGCAUUUUAACUUUAAACCGCUUUUAAUUAAUUUUAGGAAGAUUCAACGUUAUUUAAAACACUCCUUGAACCACGCCACAUGAAAUGCACCCGCGGUCCACGACAUAUUUUAUUUAACAUUGUUGAGAAUUGGAGUUGGGUCACAUGAAAUGCACAACCGAGUUUAGGAAGGUAAUUUUUAAAUAACGCACCCAAAGCAACUACGCACUUUCAACUUUGCGAGGGCCAUGGAAAAUUCCACUAAAUGGUGCACCUCAAUUUUUAAAGAUAAACAAGAUUAAUUAAACGAGGGCCAUGCAAUUUAAGGUUUUAUUUGGCAUGGCACACCUCGAUUCUAAUUUUAAGGGCUAACUAGUUUUGUGAGGGUCAUGGGCUUAUGGAAAUUAUUGUAGAAAGAGGGUAGUGUUUAAUUUACAUGACAAGGCCAAUGGUAUAUCUAAAUUGUGCAAAAUGUUCAUUAAAUAAGAUAACUCAGUUUAUAGAAAGUGAAAUCGUCCAAAAUCGUACUCCUACGACCUAAAGGUCCUAAACAUAUAGUCAAAAUUAAUUAGCAAUGUAGAAAACUCCGACUUCUAAGUGAUCAUGAAGUAUGGCUGAUCUUGGAGUAGCUUUUAAAUAAUCAAACAAGUGAAACCAAACUUUAAAAUUUACUACCAGGAGAAUUACUUUACAAACACAAGCACACAACCAACAUAAAAGGCAUCCACAAGCUCUAUUUCAGAUUACCAAGAUAGUGCAUAACCUUUAACACAAUACACUCAGGCUCAGCGAAAAGUAUCGCGAAUAAUGUAUGAAAACAGGGCCUAAGACAUCCAAUUAUUCAAGCGAUAAAAAUGUGGCCUAAACAAAGAAAAACUUUUCUCUAAUGCUUUAAUGAAUUUUUUCAGAUAUGCCUUCAUGGUCUACCUAUCAGACAAUUUGAAACUUAAAACUUCAAUAUAUGGAAAGAAAAGGAAAUUAACUUCAUACUUUAUCUUCAGAUAUCAUCAAACCAACAAUUAACAUUAAGCUAGAAUAAAAUGAGUAGAGGAUUGAAGAAUUGAACCUCAGUUAGAGCUUUCCGAUUAAUUGAGUUGCGACAAUUACACGGACUUACUGCUGGGAAGGAAACCGGGUCAAAACACGGGGACCGACGAGCCGGACCCAACUACGACCUCAAAAAUCCGACAGAAAACUUCAACCAAAGUACCAAACUCCAUUUUUUGUGGUGAGAAUGAACAGAAUUUUAUUUUUGAUAAUUUUAUACAAGAAAAUUAAAACCGAAAAUCAGAAGAGAAUUUCUCUACUUUGUCCAAAGAACGAGAUCAUUCGACAGGAAAUGGAGGGCAUUUCUUUUGUUGAAGACAGCCGGCGGCUCCUCUUUCUUGUGUAACAAUCCAAAAUCGUUGAGUUAUUUUUCAAAUCCCAAAAGCUAGUUGCCGUUUUUUGAUUUUGAAAUUAGGAUCAAAGAUCUUUUCUCUAACAAAGGGAGAUCGCUGCCUUUUCCUAUUUUUGGUGUAGGAAAUUUUUGAGAUUUCAAGCUAAUGGUUGUCGUUCUUUAGAAGUCCAAGAAGUUCUUUUGGUUCUUGGUUUUGUUUUCAAAAUGAAGAAGAAAACUCUAGCCUUGAUGGAAAACGGCUGAUACUCU
rnacentral:lncRNA from 1 species